rnacentral:rRNA from 1 species
UCGGGAAUUUUGGGCAAUGGGCGAAAGCCUGACCCAGCAACGCCGCGUGAGGGAUGAAGUAUUUCUGUAUGUAAACCUCGAAAGAAUGGGAAGAAUAAAUGACGGUACCAUUUAUAAGCUCCGGCUAACUACGUGCCAGCAGCCGCGGUAAUACGUAGGGAGCAAGCGUUGUCCGGAUUUACUGGGUGUAAAGGGCGCGCAGGCGGGAUAAAAAGUCAGUGGUGAAAUCCUACAGCUUAACUGUAGAACUGCCUUUGAUACUUUUAUUCUUGAGUUCGGGAGAGAGAGACGGAAUUCCAGGUGUAGUGGUGAAAUACGUAGAUAUCUGGAAGAACACCAGUUGCGAAGGCGGUCUCUUGGUCCGACACUGACGCUGAGGCGCGAAAGCGUGGGGAGCAAACA